GAUGAACGCUGGCGGCGUGCCUAAUACAUGCAAGUCGAGCGAACGGACGAGACGCUUGCUUCUCUGAUGUUAGCGGCGGACGGGUGAGUAACACGUGGAUAACCUACCUAUAAGACUGGGAUAACUUCGGGAAACCGGAGCUAAUACCGGAUAAUAUUUUGAACCGCAUGGUUCAAAAGUGAAAGACGGUCUUGCUGUCACUUAUAGAUGGAUCCGCGCUGCAUUAGCUAGUUGGUAAGGUAACGGCUUACCAAGGCAACGAUGCAUAGCCGACCUGAGAGGGUGAUCGGCCACACUGGAACUGAGACACGGUCCAGACUCCUACGGGAGGCAGCAGUAGGGAAUCGUCCGCAAUGGGCGAAAGCCUGACGGAGCAACGCCGCGUGAGUGAUGAAGGUCUUCGGAUCGUAAAACUCUGUUAUUAGGGAAGAACAUAUGUGUAAGUAACUGUGCACAUCUUGACGGUACCUAAUCAGAAAGCCACGGCUAACUACGUG
rnacentral:rRNA from 1 species